rnacentral:rRNA from 1 species
CCGCGGUAAAACCGGUUACUCCUACGGGAGGCAGCAGUGGGGAAUAUUGGACAAUGGGCGAAAGCCUGAUCCAGCAAUGCCGCGUGAGUGAUGAAGGCCUUAGGGUUGUAAAGCUCUUUUACCCGGGAUGCAGUACCGGGAGAAUAAGCCCCGGCUAACUCC